CGACGCCAUCUUGGACUCGAGAAAGUAAACAAAGAGAGAGAGAGAGAGAGAUGAUGGGCGAGAGAGCGGGGAAAGAUAAUGACUGCUACUUCUACUACUACUCGUCUUGUUCAAAGGGAGAGAUGUGUAAAUUCCGCCAUGAACCAGCUGCCCUCCGGAACGAGACCGUCUGUUUAUAUUGGAGGAGUGGCAAAUGCAGAAGAGAUAAAUGCAUAUUUCGCCACAUGGAGAUAGCCAAACCAAGAGAUCGCAUUGCAUGUUUUUUUGAGACACAGCCGGGGGGAUGCCGGAAGCCUCACUGUCCUUUUCAACAUUCGGCUGUUAAGACUGCGGAUGACGAACUAUCUGUAGACGGAGCUAUUCUACCAGUGAGGCUGCCGGAUGACUCCACCCCUCCACCCCCUAAUGCCAAGGGAGGGGUCACCGCCCCCCAGAAGACUCCGGUUAUUGUCGCUCUACAUGAUGGUGAAAGUGAUGCAGAAACUAAUGCUGGGUCUCCACUUAAGCAGUCAACUACUACUACUACUACUACUACUACUGCUACUACUACUACUACUACUUAUAAACAAGAACUCAGGAAAUUAAGGAAAAUUCAAGAGGAAGAAGCCGACCUCCUUGGGUACACCAUUAGUUUGGAUGAAGAGGAAGAGGAGGAGAAGGAAGAGGAGGAGGAGCAAGAGGAGAUAAUAUAUCAAGAAAUCAUAUUAGCAGACCAUGAGGAAACCGACCAAUCAGACGCCACGCACCACAGACUGUCAGCGAAUCAGGACCUGCGAAUGUUGCUCUCCAGGAAACCGGCGAAUCGCAGCCCUCCACACCUCUGCCAGCCAGCCAAUCAGAGCACAGGAACCAAUAAGCGACAGAAUAACCCAGAUUCACCUGAUAAUAAACGCCAGGAGGUGAAGAAGAGGCUAGGAUUGACUGACAACAACUGGAACUAUAAAUGCAACGAACGUCAAGAUAUUGCAAGUGACGCAGACAAUAAACGCCAGAAUCUUGAAGAAUACACAGGAAGCACUGGCAAUAAACGCCUGAACCUUGAAGAAAAUGCUCCAAACAGGAUUCAUAAACGCCUGAAUCCUCUCGCUGCCCCACAGGAACAGAGGUAUAAGGGAAUCGAACAACGAACAGUUACUCUUCCCAAUAAACGCCAGAACUUUGAGGAAGAUAAGGAAUGGCCGAAAUAUAAACGCCAGAAACUGCAGGAGAGGCUGGGAGAGGCCGCCAAUAAGCGCAAGAAUCCUUCAAUUGCAGGAAAAGCUAUAAUGGAAGUGAUUGGAGGAAGAGGAAGAGGAGGAGGAGGAGGAGGAGGAGGAGGAGGAGUGUUAGCUAGAUUAGGGAAGCUGCAGAUGUCUUCCUCUUCCUCCUCCUCUCUUCCUCCUCCCCUUCCAGUGUUAAAACAAGGUUAGGUCUAGCCUCCUGCUCCUCUUCUUCCUCUUCCUCCUCCUCCUCUUCCUCUUUGGUGCAGAAAAAUUGAUAUUAAAAGGAGAUUAGGCCAAAAUGCUUCACCUUCUCUUCCUCUUCCUCCUCCUCCUCCUCCUCCUCCUCCUCCUCCUCCUUGAAUUUUGAAGUCAAGAGCUUAUCAGAAAUUAAAGCAUUGAAAAAUUACUCAUCUCGUGUUUCAAAAUACGAUGGGAACUGUCAACAAACUGCCGCGGAACAGCAAAAAAAACGCCCGCAGAUCCUGGAAAAACCUGCCGGAACUCAGAGAAAGAUGGCCGACGAGACUGAAGGAGGGUCUGAAAAUGCCGCCAAAUUAACGACGACUCAUGGAACAGACAGGAACGGCAGGAAAAAUCCCACAGAACGCCCAGAAAGUGCCGACAGAACCUGUGAGUUUCGGAAAAUGAUGAGAUUUUUGACGUAAACAAGCCUAACGACCUGAUUGCUUCCUCUGCAAACGACUUUAGAGGAAGAAUUGUUGUUAGAAGGAGAGACUCUUGAGAUUGAUGAUAUUGAUGAAGAGGCAUUGCUGUUGUGAGAGAGAGAGAGAGAGAGAGAGAGAGAGAGAGUGGGUAGGCUACAGAUUUGAAUGAAAAAAAAGAGAGAGAAUUAAAGACAGAGAGAGAGAGAGAGAGAGAGACAUUGUACAAACAGAUUCUAAUUUUUUUUUUUUUUUGUGUGAGAGAGAGAGAGAGAGAGAGAGAGAGAGAGAGAAUAUACAUAAUUUCAUUGUACAAAAUAGUUUUAUGUGUAAUAAUUGUACUACUACUACUACUAUUACUACUACUACUACUACUACUACUACUUCUAUAAUUCUCUCCUCCUCUUCCUCUUCUUGUGUUCCUCUACUAUCACCACCACCACUACUACUACUACCACCAUCACCACCACCACUACUACUACUACUACUACUACUACUACUUGUUUUCAUAUUAAAAAAAAAAGACAUUUUAGUUAAUGAUGAAAAAAAUUGUAAAAAAUAAGAACUAAUUCAAUAAUAAUAAUAAUAAUAAUAAUAAUAAUAAUAAUGUAAUUUUUGCUCAUGUAUUUAAUCUUGUGAAUUAUUAUUAUUAUUAUUAUUAUUAUUAUUAUUACUAUUAUUACUAUUAUUAUUAUCAUUAUUAUUAUCAUUAUUAUAUUAAGAGUAUUUUUAAGAUGUAAAUAAAAAUGUCCACGAA